GACGGUCAACGGGCACUGGCGUGCUCCCUCGGCUGCAAACCGGGUGUCUCGUGAUCGGUCACGAGGCUGGGUUCGAUUCCCAGGGACCGUC
rnacentral:tRNA from 1 species